UUCCAUGGAACUGCCUGUGAGAUGUGUGAGCUGGGCCGCUACGGGCCCAACUGCACCGGAGGUGAGGACUGGGGAGGGGCGAGGGUGGGCUUCCUGGCAGCAGAGAGCAGCCUGGAGACCCCAGCCAGGACAGGAUGGAGGCACUGGGCAACUCCUGUCCUCCUUUAUACCACUGCAGUGUGUGACUGUGCCCAUGGGCUGUGCCAGGAGGGGCUGCAAGGGGACGGAAGCUGUGUCUGUAACGUGGGCUGGCAGGGCCUCCGCUGUGACCAGAAAAUCACCAGCCCUCAGUGCCCUAGGAAGUGCGACCCCAAUGCCAAGACUCGGCCGGAGCCUCCACCUGCGCCUGUGCUGCGGGAUACUCCGGCAAUGGCAUCUUCUGUUCAGGUCCAGCCACAUGGAUGCCCAGGGCCCUCCCUGAAAUUUUGGGGUGGCUGUCCCCACAGAACCCCCUUCACUUCCUCUAGGCCCAGCCCCACUCACUGUCCCAUCUCAGGACUCACCCUUCCCUCUGACCUUUUCCUUUCUCUCACACCCUCCUCUCCUGUCCUGCCCCUGGGCCCGUGCCUGCUCCUAAGGACUCUCUGGGACCAUCUCUCCUUAGAGGUGGACCCCUGUGCCCAUGGCCAUGGGGGCUGCUCCCCUCAUGCCAACUGUACCAAGGUGGCACCUGGACAGCGGACAUGCACUUGCCAGGAUGGCUACAUGGGCGACGGGGAGCUGUGCCAGGAAAUUAACAGCUGUCUCAUCCACCACGGGGGCUGCCACAUUCACGCCGAGUGCAUCCCCACUGGCCCCCAGCAGGUCUCCUGCAGCUGCCGUGAGGGUUACAGCGGGGAUGGCAUCCGGACCUGCGAGCUCCUGGACCCCUGCUCUAAGAACAAUGGAGGCUGCAGCCCAUAUGCCACCUGCAAAAGCACAGGGGAUGGCCAGAGGACAUGUACCUGCGACACAGCCCACACCGUGGGGGACGGCCUCACCUGCCGUGCCCGAGUCGGCCUGGUAAUGAUGCCCAAGUCAGACCCCUGAUCUGGUCUUGGCUGUGCCCCAUGGGCCUGACCCAUGGUCUUGGCAAAGAUCCGAUUUGAUCCUGAUCCUGGCCCUGACCAUGACACUGAGCCUGACCCCUGACUGUACCUGGGCCUGACCCCAGCUAUGACCCAUGAAACUAGCCCUGACCCCAACUCAGACCCCGCGGCUUUCCUUUCCUCAUGUCUGCCUUGGCUAGACCUUGGGCCACAGGUGCUGGGACAGGCACCAGGCCCUGAAUGGGGGCCGCCCCAAAUCUGAGCUGACCCUCGCCCCCCCCAGGAGCUCCUGAGGGAUAAGCAUGCCUCAUUCUUCAGCCUCCGCCUCCUGGUGAGUGGCCAGCUUGGGCCUCUGUGACCUGCAAGUCCCACCCGUCUCUGGGCUUCUGUUCCCAUCUGGUCAGGGGGUUGGCUGGUUUGUUCUCUCUGAGUCCAGGUCUUCCCCAGGAGAUCCAUGGACGCCUCAGGCUUCUCCCCUUCCCCUCAUGCUGUUGCUGCCUCCCGCAGGAGUACAAGGAGCUCAAGGGCGAUGGGCCUUUCACCAUCUUCGUGCCGCACGCAGAUCUAAUGAGCAACCUGUCGCAGGAUGAGCUGGCCCGGAUUCGCGCGCAUCGCCAGCUGGUGUUUCGCUACCACGUGGUUGGCUGUCAGCGGCUGAGGAGUGAGGACCUGCUGGAGCAAGGGUACGCCACGGCCCUCUCAGGGCACCCACUGCGCUUCAGUGAGAGAGAGGGCAGCAUAUACCUCAAUGACUUCGCGCGCGUGGUGAGCAGCGACCAUGAGGCCGUGAACGGUAUCCUGCACUUCAUUGAUCGUGUCCUGCUGCCCCCCGAGGCGCUGCACUGGGAGCCUGAUGAUGCUCCCAUCCCGAGGAGAAAUGUCACCGCCGCCGCCCAGGGCUUUGGUUACAAGAUCUUCAGCGGCCUCCUGAAGGUACUGCUCCCAUGUGGGCCUGUCAUUGUGGACACAUGUGCACAUGUGUGUGCAAGUGUCUAUGCAUACCUGUGUGUGCAUACCCACCUGUGUGCACACUGUCCUGUGUGAGCCUGUGUGAACUCAUGUGUGCACAAGCCACAUCUGUGUGCAUGAGCACCCCAGGUUGAGCACAUAGGUGUGCUUAUGUGUGCCCACAUUCCUGACAGCAGUGUGCACAGUUGAGAUGUGUGCACACACAUGCCUGCCUGGGAUGGUCACAGAUGAGUGUGGGUGAGUGUGGAGCCCCUUCCUGCUCUAUGGCACAGCCCCCUGCCUUUGCUCACUAGUCUCUGACUGGGCUGCGACUGCCACAUCUUUGCUGCACCCCACCAGGUGGCCGGCCUCCUGCCCCUGCUUCGAGAGGCAUCCCAUAGGCCCUUCACAAUGGUGUGGCCCACAGACGCCGCCUUUCGAGCCCUGCCUCCGGAUCGCCAGGCCUGGCUGUACCAUGAGGACCACCGUGACAAGCUAGCAGCCGUUCUGCGGGGCCACAUGAUUCGCAAUGUCGAGGCCUUGGCAUCUGACCUGCCCAACCUGGGCCCACUUCGAACCA
rnacentral:sRNA from 1 species